rnacentral:tRNA from 1 species
GGAGGGUUAGCUCAGCUGGGAGAGCAUCUGCCUUACAAGCAGAGGGUCGGCGGUUCGAUCCCGUCAUCCUCCACCA